AUUGAACGCUGGCGGCAGGCCUAACACAUGCAAGUCGAAUGGUAACAGGAAACCGCUUGCUGUUUCGCUGACGAGUGGCGGACGGGUGAGUAAUGUCUGGGAAACUGCCUGAUGGAGGGGGAUAACUACUGGAAACGGUAGCUAAUACCGCAUAACGUCGCAAGCCCAAAGAGGGGGACCUUCGGGCCUCUUGCCAUCAGAUGUGCCCAGAUGGGAUUAGCUAGUAGGUGGGGUAACGGCUCACCUAGGCGACGAUCCCUAGCUGGUCUGAGAGGAUGACCAGCCACACUGGAACUGAGACACGGUCCAGACUCCUACGGGAGGCAGCAGUGGGGAAUAUUGCACAAUGGGCGCAAGCCUGAUGCAGCCAUGCCGCGUGUAUGAAGAAGGCCUUCGGGUUGUAAAGUACUUUCAGCGGGGAGGAAGGGAGUAAAGUUAAUACCUUUGCUCAUUGACGUUACCCGCAGAAGAAGCACCGGCUAACUCCGUG
rnacentral:rRNA from 1 species